rnacentral:lncRNA from 1 species
AUGGGUCCCUAUGGGUCCCUAUGCGUCUCUAUGGGUGCCUAUGGGUCUGUAUGGGUCUCUAGGAUCCCCAUGUGUCCCUAUGUGUCUUUAUGGGUCUCUAUGGGUCUCUAUGGGUCCCUAUGGGUCCCUAUGGGUCUCUAUGGGUCUCUAUGGGUCCCUAUGGGUCCCCCUGUGUCCCCCUGUGUCCCUAUGGGUCCCCCCGUGUCCCUAUGGGUCGCUAUGUGUCCCCGUGUCCCUAUGGGUCUCUAUGGGUCCCCCUGUGUCCCCCUGUGUCCCUAUGGGUCUCAAUGUGUCCCUAUGGGUCGCUGUGUCCCCCCGUGUCCCUAUGGGUCCCCAUGUGUCCCUAUGGGUCUCUGGGGUCUCUAUGGGUCGCUGUGGGUCCCCAUGUGUCCCUAUGUGUCCCCCUGUGUCCCCCCGUGUCCCUAUGGGUGCCGUGGGUCCCGCAGACGUUCGGGCGCCGCGCUCUGCCCGCCCUGCACUGGCUUUUCCCGCUGGCCGUCACCUUGUCCACCUUCGGCGGCGUCAACGGAUCCCUGUUCACCUGCUCCAGGUCUGCCCCACAGCCGCCCCAUGGCUGCCCCAUGGCUGCCCCAUAGCCGCCCCAUAGCCGCCCCACAGCCGCCCCAUAGCCGCCCCAUAGAGACCCCAUAGCUGCCCCAUAGCUGCCCCAUAGCCGCCCCACAGCCGCCCCAUAGCUGCCCCAUAGCCGCCCCAUAGCCGCCCCAUGGCUGCCCCAUAGAGACCCCAUAGCUGCCCCAUGGCUGCCCCAUAGAGACCCCAUGGCUGCCCCA